GUGCUCACUUCGCCACACAUAUACUAAAAAACUGGAAUGACACAGAGGAUUAGCAUGGCCCCUGCACAAGGAUGACAUGCAAAUUCGUGAAGUGUUCCAUAUAAAA